rnacentral:tRNA from 1 species
UGGAUCACCUCCUAACAGGGAGACAACAAAAUGUUUAAUAUUAUUAUUUUGUCACCUUAGGUCGAUCGGUAUCUCACGUUCUUAAUUUAUUAAGAAUUUCAUUUCCUAAGUUUUUCUAGGUCACACCCAUUAUUUUUCCUGGGCCAUUAGCUCAGGUGGUUAGAGCGCACCCCUGAUAAGGGUGAGGUCCCUGGUUCAAGUCCAGGAUGGCCCAUAUCUCUAUGUUGGGGGUAUAGCUCAGUUGGUAGAGCGCCUGCUUUGCAAGCAGGAUGUCAGCGGUUCGAGUCCGCUUACCUCCACUGAUUACCACCUCUUCCAUAAUCUGUAGAAAGGAAAUGUAUUGAGUUGUGAUCAAAUUCUGAACGAAUCUAGCUUCCUAAUGAAAUCAUUAAGAUGCUGGAUUCAUUGAAUUAAUUUCAUUGUUUUCAGAGAACCUUGACAACUGCAUAGAUUAUUUUUAAAGACAAUAAGCAUCUUUUAAUGAUGCAGAUUUAUUAUUUGUGCGAAUGCAUUAAUAACAAUUCUAUUAAGCUGAUGCUUCAAUUUUUGAAGUUAUUGGUCAAGCUACAAAGGGCUCACGGAGGAUACCUAGGCACACAGAGGCGAUGAAGG